UGGGGAAUUUUGGACAAUGGACGCAAGUCUGACCCAGCCAUGCCGCGUGCGGGAAGAAGGCCUUCGGGUUGUAAACCGCUUUUGUCAGGGAAGAAACGCUCUGGGCUAAUACCCUGGGGUAAUGACGGUACCUGAAGAAUAAGCACCGGCUAACUACGUGCCAGCAGCCGCGGUAAUACGUAGGGUGCAAGCGUUAAUCGGAAUUACUGGGCGUAAAGCGUGCGCAGGCGGUUAUGCAAGACAGAGGUGAAAUCCCCGGGCUCAACCUGGGAAUUGCAUUGGAGACUGCAAGGCUAGAAUCUGGCAGAGGGGGGUAGAAUUCCACGCGUAGCAGUGAAAUGCGUAGAUAUGUGGAGGAACACCGAUGGCGAAGGCAAUCCCCUGGACCUGUACUGACGCUCAUGCACGAAAGCGUGGGGAGCAAACA
rnacentral:rRNA from 1 species